UACGGGGGGGGCAAGCGUUGUUCGGAAUUACUGGGCGUAAAGGGCUCGUAGGCGGCCAACUAAGUCAGACGUGAAAUCCCUCGGCUUAACCGGGGAACUGCAUCUGAUACUGGAAGGCUCGAGUAUGGGAGAGGGAUGUAGAAUUCCAGGUGUAGCGGUGAAAUGCGUAGAUAUCUGGAGGAAUACCGGUGGCGAAGGCGGCAUCCUGGACCAUUACUGACGCUGAGGCGCGAAAGCUAGGGGAGCAAACGGG
rnacentral:rRNA from 1 species